UGCCAGACGAAAUUCAUAGUUGGUGCCUUAAAUAUAACAAACCCGGUCCUGUUCUCGCCGCACCAGCCAGCCAAUAGGCUUUCAGCAAGUCGACUAAAAACUUCAGACUUGUCUUCAGUGGAAAUUUCGACUUUUUUAUCCAGAAGGGUCCAGAAGUCAUACAGACUUGGAGUACAUAAUUAAAUGAUAAAAUUCUGAGUUCAGGUCUGAAACGAAUCUGUCCAGCCCAGCAGAACAGGCCCGGGCCUCACCCAUUAAACUCAUUGAUCCAAAUGUACACGAAUUUCAGCGUGGGUUUGCCGGUAAAGUAAGUAAGUAUUCUAUUUUUAUUGCUCCAUUCAAUGCCUAACUAAGGCCUCGCCCACACGACAGUUUGCCAAGCGGCAGGUUCAAUCAAGUCUCCCCAUCUUCGAGUCGCCAGACAAGUGCUUUUGAACGUUUUAAUUAGGGUUUCAACACUUCCGCAUCCCUUCCGCCAGGAGGGAGAACAUCUUAGGCAAAACUUCUGCUUCGCCAAAUUCCGCUCAGGCAAACAAAACGACUUCUAACCGAUUUCUCUGUGUGUCAAAGGGCGGAAAUAGGCACAAAAGCGUGUUGCUAGCACUCGUUUUGCUGAAGGUUUUCCAGCAGCAAAAACAACUGGAUUCGAUCCUCCUCCCGUUUAGCUCUCAAGGGUGUUGUUUCUUUCAAAAAACCGUGGAUUAUUAACGAAUUAACCCGCUCUUUUAGUGUAUUCGGGCUGCGCCCGUUUCCCCUUCGAACCGGCGUCAUCCAGAAAGGCUCGGAAUCCCGUGACCCAGAUGUUGGGGCGUCGGGAGCGGCUCCCUGCGAACUGUGACCCCGUUAUCGAUCCCCAGGAUGACGCAUCCAUUCGAGGAUUCCCCAACGACGGCCGCACCUGGAUUAGCCUCCUUCGGAGCGAUCACGCUCGCGGAGAACUCAGCCUGAAAACCUGAGAAGAACACAGAGCUUAAAUCAACUGCGUCAUAGAAUUUAGCACCCGUCCCUCGUACAUGCGGCUGGUGGGACGAGGACAGGACGCCUUGUAUAGCGCCGCCCUUCUUGCCCACAUUACCGCCGUCCUAACGAAGACACCCGACCGACCCCGAAAAGCUACGAAGGAGCUACCAGUGGCUACGAGGGGCCUUCAUAUUUUUCAAGGUUUAAAACGUAAACCGUUCCAUCGCACAUGAGAAAAUUAAAAAAGCUUGGAGGUAUUUAAAUUAAAUACCCAUCUGUCUCCCCAAAUCCCGCCUAAGUCUUGCUGAAACCGCAUUAGACCGAGGUCCAGGUGCAACAUGAACGAGACGACAACAAAAUCCAUUGAAAUCCCGCAGAUUGAUCACUUCCCUGAACCCUGGAAUGGAAGAUCGGCACGUUUUCCGCGAUGGAUUUAGCGACUUAAUUAAUAAAAAGCAAAGUUGA
rnacentral:lncRNA from 1 species